rnacentral:rRNA from 1 species
CAAGGCUUGACAUACACCGGAAAGCAUUAGAGAUAGUGCCCCCCUUGUGGUCGGUGUACAGGUGGUGCAUGGCUGUCGUCAGCUCGUGUCGUGAGAUGUUGGGUUAAGUCCCGCAACGAGCGCAACCCUUGUCCUGUGUUGCCAGCGUGCCCUUCGGGGUGACGGGGACUCACAGGAGACCGCCGGGGUCAACUCGGAGGAAGGUGGGGACGACGUCAAGUCAUCAUGCCCCUUAUGUCUUGGGCUGCACACGUGCUACAAUGGCAGGUACAAUGAGCUGCGAUACCGUGAGGUGGAGCGAAUCUCAAAAAGCCUGUCUCAGUUCGGAUUGGGGUCUGCAACUCGACCCCAUGAAGUCGGAGUUGCUAGUAAUCGCAGAUCAGCAUGCUGCGGGAAUACGUCCCGAGGCAC